CUGUGCAAAGGUAGCAUAAUCAUUAGCUUUUUAAUUGAAGGCUUGUAUGAAGGGUCUGACAAAGAAAAAGCUGUCUUUAAUUUUAUUUUUGAAAUUAACUUUUAAGUGAAAAGGCUUAAAUAAUUUUAAGGGACGAUAAGACCCUAUAAAUCUUUAUAUUAAAUUUUAGCUUAAAUAUUAAUUAGUUUGUUUAUAUUUUUUUUAAAGUUAAAAUAAAUAUUUUGUUGGGGUGACAAGAAUAUAAUAAUUAACUGUUCUUUUAUAAAACAAAGUUGUUUGUAAAAUAAAAUAAAGAUCCUUUAUUAAAGAUUAAAAGUUUAAGUUACUUUAGGGAUAACAGCGUUAUUUUUUUUGAGAGUUCAUAUCGAAAAAAAAGUUUGCGACCUCGAUGUUGAAUUAAAAUUUCUCUAUGGUGUAGAAGUUAUAGAAGAGAGUCUGUUCGACUUUUGAAAUUUU
rnacentral:rRNA from 1 species